GCGCGGGGCAGAGGCAGGGGGGCGGGAGAGACCUCCCCGCACCGGCGCGGUUACCGACCUCGGGCUCUUCCGUGGUGUCCGGUGGGCGGGGCUUGUCCGGUGGGCAGGGCUAGGAGGCGCCCGCUGCCGGUUCGGUCCCGCUAGAGGCGGGCUUGCACCGGGAGUCCGAGUGUGCAAACGGCCUCCCCGCCUUCGCCCCCCUCCCCGUUCCCGCGCCUGCAGCUCCGGCUGAGCCCGGCUACCCGCGAGGGAGAGGCAGCGCGAACUACAGUUCCCAGCAUGCACCGCAGAUGGGUUUUUCUCCCCUCCCUCCUCCGCUUUUUACUGACCCGGAAGCAUCAGCGACUCACUUCCGGGUGCGGGUUACUCUAUGGGACUACAGCUCCCAGAAUGCCGCGCGCCAUUGUAGGCCCGCCCGCCCCUUCCACGGGGUCGCUGCAGGAUGGAGAGGCGGGAAGAGAGCGCGAGCGGCUUCAGGAAGGAAACUGUUAACAAAAUACUUCAUCUCCAUUUCAAAGAUGACAAAACUCGAGAAGCUGCAGCUCGCAGCGCACGGCAGGCUCAAGCUGAGGACUUGGACAGGGUGGAUAUUGAACACGUGGAGAAAGUGCUGCCACAGCUGCUUCUGGAUUUUUAGAGGCCUGAUCAAGCAGAAUGGGAUGCAUCAGCUGCUAAGAGGAGAAAGUCCUGACCUGGGAGUUAAUCUGAUACCAAAUGUCUGGACUGGCAUCCUGUUUAACUAUGGGGAUGGGCAUUGUUGUUGCUUCACUAUGCCCUUGCCAUCUUGCUGCAGUAGCAGCUGCUUCCUCACCCCUCUCAUCUGA
rnacentral:lncRNA from 1 species